AGUGGCAGUGGCAGUGCCUGGCUAGUGUCUGGGCCUCCUGAGCUCCACAGAAGCCUGAUGCAGAGAGACCCCUGAUCCUCAACCAACUCCCACUGCCCAGUCUCUGAUUUGCUCAGAAACUUGCAGAGUCAGCAGCUAUCAGCCACCAAGUUGUAAUUAACUCUUCCUGGAGUCAUGAAAAACUGCCGUUUCCUUGUUGGCUUUUAGGUCCAGUGUAAACAGCCCUUCCAGAGCCUUAGUCCAAGUCUUGGAAACCCUAGAGAGAAGCAAUGGGGACCCUCGGGGAGCAGAGGGUUCCUUCGUGAUGAUCCUCCACUGCCUCAGGUUAUCAAACAAAUCCCCAUCCAGGUUAUUUUCAUCUGCCGGCUCCUGUAGCCUGGGUAGUGAGACCCCCAGGUGCACUUCGGGAGAUCUUCCUGCAGGGUCUAGAGGGAGGACCUCUCAUUCAGCAAGAAGAAAGCAGAGGGAGAUUUGAGAAUACAGAGAAGAGAAGACACAGGAGUGGGGGCCAUGUGACCAGGGAGGCAGAGCUCGGAGUCGUGUGGGCUCAGAUUCUCCCCUAGAGGCCUGCGGGGAGCAUGGCCUUGCCAGAUUUCCAGCUUCCAGCCUGCAGGAUGCUGAGACAGUAAAUCCUCACCGUUUUAAGCCACCAAGUUUGUGGUGAUCUGUUACAGCAGCUUCAGUAAACACAUACAACCUGCAUAACUGGGUGCCUGAACCCUUGGUAAAGAAAGUACACAGAGGGAUUCAUGAGUGCUUGGCCAACUCCAAGGUCCUGGGAGGACAUGAACCAGUGACUUUGAAUGUGAUGCUGAGCCCAGCAGGGAGCCAGUAUGACUCUCCCCAAAUCACAAGUGAGACUCAGAGGCCCCACUGGGCUCCCACAUGGACUCAGGCCACCGUCUUUGCUUAGAGGACGCAGCAGAAAGACUUGGCUCAUUUUCCAGGGGCAGACUUGGAGAGUUCUGGCAGGUCCAUACAUUUCAACUCCCUCCUCCCACCACAGCAGGCCUGCUCUUUUAUGUAUCCAAUGGGAAUAUUUUUCAUUAUCUUCCCUCUCAAUUUAAUUAAUCCACAUUCCGUAAUGAACCUUGAAAUUUCAUUAAACACAUCAUUACUAAUCAGCACA
ensembl:lncRNA novel transcript